rnacentral:pre_miRNA from 1 species
CACUGGAGGCAGCGGUUCAUCGAUCUCUUCCUGGGAAUUUGGUGUGAAAAAUCACAGAACAUGAAUCGAUCGAUAAACCUCUGCAUCCAGC